rnacentral:rRNA from 1 species
CCUACGGGUGGCAGCAGUAGGGAAUAUUGCUCAAUGGGGGAAACCCUGAAGCAGCAACGCCGCGUGGAGGAUGAAGGUUUUCGGCUUGUAAACUCCUUUUGUUAGAGAAGAUAGUGACGGUAUCUGACGAAUAAGCACCGGCUAACUCCGUGCCAGCAGCCGCGGUAAUACGGAGGGUGCAAGCGUUACUCGGAAUCACUGGGCGUAAAGCGAGCGUAGGCGGGAUAGCAAGUCAGAUGUGAAAUCCUAUGGCUUAACCAUAGAACUGCAUUUGAAACUGUGUUGCUAGAGUAUGGGAGAGGUAGGUGGAAUUCUUGGUGUAGGGGUAAAAUCCGUAGAGAUCAAGAGGAAUACUGAUGGCGAAGGCGACCUGCUAGAACAUAACUGACGCUGAUGCGCGAAAGCGUGGGGAGCAAACAGGAUUAGAUACCCCUGUAGUC